CCUACGGGUGGCAGCAGUCGAGAAUCAUUCACAAUGGGGGAAACCCUGAUGGUGCGACGCCGCGUGGGGGAAUGAAGGUCUUCGGAUUGUAAACCCCUGUCAUGUGGGAGCAAAUUAAAAAGAUAGUACCACAAGAGGAAGAGACGGCUAACUCUGUGCCAGCAGCCGCGGUACUACAGAGGUCUCACGCGGUGUUCGGAAUCACUGGGCGUAAAGCGUGCGUAGGCUGUUUCGUAAGUCGUGUGUGAAAGGCGCGGGCUCAACCCGCGGACGGCACAUGAUACUGCGAGACUAGAGUAAUGGAGGGGGAACCGGAAGUCUCGGUGUAGCAGUGAAAUGCGUAGAUAUCGAGAGGAACACUCGUGGCGAAGGCGGGUUCCUGGACAUUAACUGACGCUGAGGCACGAAGGCCAGGGGAGCGAAAGGGAUUAGAUACCCCUGUAGUC
rnacentral:rRNA from 1 species